AAGUCGAGCGCGGGAAGCAAACUGAAGCCUUCGGGCGGACGUUGUGGAACGAGCGGCGGAUGGGUGAGUAACACGUGGGCAACCUGCCUGUAAGAUUGGGAUAACUUGCGGAAACGUGAGCUAAUACCAAAUAAAGCUUCAUAUCAACCUGAUGUGAAGAUGAAAGAUGGCUCCGGCUAUCAACUUACAGAUGGGCCCGUGGCGCAUUAGCUAGUUGGUGGGAUAAAAGCUUACCAAGGCAACGAUGCGUAGCCGACCUGAGAGGGUGAUCGGCCACACUGGGACUGAGACACGGCCCAGACUCCUACGGGAGGCAGCAGUAGGGAAUCUUCCGCAAUGGACGCAAGUCUGACGGAAGCAACGCCGCGUGAGUGAUGAAGGUUUUCGGAUCGUAAAACUCUGUUGUUAGGGAAGAACAAGUACCGUUCGAAUAGGUCGGUACCUUGACGGUACCUAACCAGAAAGCCCCGGCUAACUACGUGCCAGCCGCGGC
rnacentral:rRNA from 1 species